UAAUAUCACAGAAGACCCCUCCUCCUCCCCUUAAAGUCUUCUGUGGUUUAAGACCGGUCUCCCUCCUCCCAAUUAGCCGGUCUUUCUAUCAGACACCCGUUGCAGUCCUCCCCUGCGACGGGUGUUAUUU
rnacentral:sRNA from 1 species